GGUGAGAUCGACGAGAUCGGCGGAGUCAGAGGAGAAGCUCCGUGGCGCCUCAUCCUCCCGAGGCCACGAGCUGAGGGUGAGGACGAGAGCGGCGGAGACGACGACGAAGGCUCCGGCUGGUCCGGCAGCGGCGCAGGGGCGGCGCCGCCGCCACCAGAGGCGGAGUCCGUGGACGGCCAUGGUUGCGGGAUUUCGGGUUUUGCGUGGAGUGAGAGGACGCAACGAUCGAAACAGAGUCGAUAGGAGGAAUCUCAGAUCCGAGGAAGAAACCGAAACCGAUUGUCUAUUGGAGGCACGUUUUUUCCGCCGCGGCUUUUUCGCACCCAACGGGCUUUUUUAAAUAUAUGGAAUUCGGCGAUCUUUCUCGCACCAAACGGUCUAGGGCUUUUUUAAAUAGAAUUCGCGGCAAAUAACAUUUCGUUGCCGAGUUUUCAUUUUAUUCGGUGGUCGGAUUUCAACCCGGCUUCUCUGCCGACGCCGGUUUCUGUGGAGUCUCGCAGAAGAAAUCGGCAAAAGAUAAAUCUUCAUUCGCCGAAUUCGGAUAGAGCACCAUGGUUUUAUUAUCUUUUUUUUAUUAUUAUUCAUUUUAUGCUUUGGCGGUGGAUUGUUCGAUUCUAUAAACUUUUUUUACUUUUUGGAAAAAAAAUUGCAUAAAAUGAGCAAAAUAUUGCACAUACAUCCAAGUUUUAGAUAGAACAUCAGGAAUCAAAAAUAAAAAAGGAGAAAAGUUCAUAUUGUAUCUUAUAAUUAGUUCAUAAAAUACUAUUUUUUCUGGUCAAUAUAUAUAUGUCUGCGUAUUUCAUAUUUUCCGUUAUGUUUCCUGUUUAAUUAUCUCCAUACAACUACGGCUACUUGUAUGCAAAUUCAACCUUAACCACUGCACACCGGGAUAAUUGAUCAUCAAAUGCUGAAGAGGACUUUAACACAUUUUAUCCAUAGCAAGUACAAUGNGGAAGGAAAAAGUGUACGAACCAAAGAGCCCAAAACUUUCAAGAUUACAAAAUAACCUACCAAGGAAGUCUUGCCAUAGUUUGUCGCAGAAUAGAGAAAAUAUCUAUAUGCAGAACUAACAGCAGAUUUUUGGCCGAUACAGCUACGGCAAAAUUUGAUAGCAUUUCCUUACCUUCAGAGUUGUGCUAAAGGACAAUAACCCCAAAACUGAUUGAUACCAUCAUAUUAAAAUAUUCAUACCAAUGCUUCUUGCUGGAGCAGAUUUUACCAAGGAUUAAACUGUAAAACAACUACGUAACAGUAGAGUGCUGCUUGCCCAGGAAUAUUACAAAUAAGAAGCCAAAAUCAAACUCUAGUUGUGGUAGCAGAGAACAUUUAGUUGGUAGCAGACGAGACGAAAGAGGUGCAGCUUUCUCGGCGAAACAACAAUCAGAUAUAUAAAGGGUCAAAAUGAUCACCAUACAAAAGAUGGCUCCCAGAAAGAGUCCUUUGGUAAUCGCAUGGCAUAUUAAAACUCACCUUUCCAAAAGAUGAAUAAUAGAUGUUCCACAAAUCUCGAGCAAUUUAACAAAUAUAUAAACAUCAAAACACAGGUAGACAUGAAUAAAUUACCAGUUGAGCCUCUGCAUAAAAUAUCGUGUUAUUUACAAGAGCCUCAGGAUAUAAUCUUAACUGUUACAGGUAAAGAGAAAACAGGAAAACCAUAGAUAGCAAGUACAAUUACCAGGAUUUUGAGAUUGGAUGUUGCUUAAAAUGCCAUGAAAGGCAAUCUGCCGUUCCAUGUAGUUUGAUGAACCUAAUGCUGUCAGUUUACGCAAAGCACAUGAUUGCAAGCUACGGCACCAGCCUCCACCCUAAAGCUCAACAAGGUAAAUAGAAUGGCAACAAAAGCUGGCAAUUUUCAAUGAAAUACUUAUAUUUAAUCUACAAAAGCACCUAUUUAAUCUACAUCAGAAAUGCCUAAGAAGAUUUCUUCUUGAGAUCAAUAUUUCAGCUGAUCAUUAUGACAGCAAAAAUAUACUAAACUUCAAAUCGAAGCCACUACAAUUUAUUCCACUAACUUCCAAAUAUCUUUGCUGUACUGAAGAAUACAGAUAAAUACAGAAUGCAAAUGAAGCACAUCUACUGAACUUUAUCUGCUUAAUUUCCUUAUAUUCACUAUAUAUCAAACACAUUAACAUAAUUCGUCAUUUUCCAAAUAAGUUGUUAAACUGAGAGGCCAAACUGACAAGGUGAACAGCCAACAGUAAUAUUUCUUUGCAUAAGUCCACUAGAACUAAAUUUCUUCAAUCAGGUCCAACCAUAUUUAGAGUUUCCAUCCACCAGGUGGGAAUUACAUGAAUGUAAUAGUAAGUGAACUUGAUCUAAGAAACUUAGCACUACUGGACUUGAUCAAAAUCUUAUAAAAGUAACUUAAUCAGCAUGCAGGCUGAUGUUAAUCUUUCUAAACAGAAUUAAUGAAGCGAGCACAGAAAUCACAGGGAACUAGGUAAUUGGGAAAAUCUAAGUAAUGGAUCUACGCAUCCAGUUCCAAGUACUGAUACUGUAAUCAUCUACCUCUAAAUGGAGGAGCCAACUAUUGGAGCCCGAUCCAAAUCCCCUCUGGAGAUGGUACCCCGCCGGGCUCCCAUCUAAGCACACUGCAAAAAGCAAAACCCUAACAACUAAGGGCGAAGAUAACAACAACAAAAUUCGACAGCAACAUGAACACACGAAUCAAAUCUCACGUACACGCGCCCUUCUCUUUCGCGUUCUUUAGGAGGGUGAGAUCGACGAGAUCGGCGGAGUCCGAGGAGAAGCUCCGCGGCGCCUCAUCCUCCCGAAGCCACGAGCUGAGGGUGAGGACGAGAGCAGCGGAGACGACGACGAAGGCUCCGGCAGCUCCGGCAGCGGCGUAGGGGCGGCGCCGCCGCCACCAGAGGCGGAGUCGGUGGACGGCCAUGGUUGCGGGAUUUAGGGUUUCGGGUGAAGUGAGAGGACGCAACGAUCGAAACAGAGUCGAUAGGAGGAAUCUCAGAUCCGAGGAAGAAACCGAAACCGAUUGUCUAUUGGAGGCACGUUUUUUCCGCCGCGGCUUUUUCGCACCCAACGGGCUAGCGCUUUUUUAAAUAGAAUUCGCGGCAAAUAACAUUUCGUUGCCGAGUUUUCAUUUUAUUCGGUGGUCGUAUUUCAACCCGGCUUCUCUACCGACGCCGGUUUCUGUGGAGUCUCGCAGAAGAAAUCGGCAAAAGAUAAAUCUUCAUUCGCCGAAUUCGGAUAGAGCACCAUGGUUUUAUUAUCUUUUUUUUAUUAUUAUUCAUUUUAUGCUUUGGCGGUGGAUUGUUCGAUUCUAUAAACUUUUUUUACUUUUUGGAAAAAAAAUUGCAUAAAAUGAGCAAAAUAUUGCACAUACAUCCAAGUUUUAGAUAGAACAUCAGGAAUCAAAAAUAAAAAAGGAGAAAAGUUCAUAUUGUAUCUUAUAAUUAG
rnacentral:lncRNA from 1 species